AACGAACGCUGGCGGCAGGCCUAACACAUGCAAGUCGAGCGAGGACUUCGGUUCUAGCGGCGGACGGGUGAGUAACGCGUGGGAAUGCGCCCUUCUCUACGGAAUAGCCCUGGGAAACUGGGAGUAAUACCGUAUACGCCCUAUUGGGGAAAGAUUUAUCGGAGAAGGAUCAGCCCGCGUUGGAUUAGGUAGUUGGUGGGGUAAUGGCCUACCAAGCCGACGAUCCAUAGCUGGUUUGAGAGGAUGAUCAGCCACACUGGGACUGAGACACGGCCCAGACUCCUACGGGAGGCAGCAGUGGGGAAUCUUAGACAAUGGGGGCAACCCUGAUCUAGCCAUGCCGCGUGAGUGAUGAAGGCCUUAGGGUUGUAAAGCUCUUUCAGCUGGGAAGAUAAUGACGGUACCAGCAGAAGAAGCCCCGGCUAACUCCGUG
rnacentral:rRNA from 1 species